CGGCUGGCGAGAGUUUAGCAAGAGAGAAAAUGCAGUCAAAGCACUAUCUAUCCAGACACACUGCUGCUACCCACACAUCGACAGUGCAGGCUCUGCGUCAGGAGCUAACUCUUCCUUCCAGAAGCCCAGACUCCAACAGAGGAGAGACGUGCCGCUGAUGGAUGGCUGUGAGCUGGACUCUCCUCUAAAAGGGGUCUGAGAUCAGCCUGGAUCUGCUCUCGAUAUGCCAUGAAUCAAGAAUGGAUGGACGUUCCUGCCUGUGUGCGUUUUGCAGGAACAGCUAUUGCCGAUGGGGAUCAUGGAGUAGUCUGUGUAAUGUGCC